AAAUCAGUAGUCACCAUAAAGAGUUUGCUUGUAGAGGCUGGAGAGGGAGUUUCAGAACCUUUGAUAUGACCACCAGAGGAAGGUCCUACAACUAUACAAGACUUGGCAAAAGAGCUCCAUGCUGCUGAUAGAUUUGUCUCAUGGCAAGUUCUCAAGCUUUCCUCACAUUGAAGAAAUGCCAUCAGCUGGCGGUAACCUGUGUAACGGGAAAGCAGAAAAGCUGCAGCAGGUAUCAUGGAACAGAGAGCCUGGACAAGCACAGCGGUGGGGCAGAUGGACCUCACUUAGCUUUUACAGGCAUGGGGACAGGACUGCCAAUAGGGUGGACAUGGCAGUAACUACCUGAGGCUACAAUCAGCAGCCACUGUUUGGACAGUUGUCACAACAAGUUUUGUGGCAGUAAGUGCAUUGAGUUGGUCAGGCAGCACUUUACU